rnacentral:ncRNA from 1 species
AUCGUUCAACCCAAAAGGGUCGCAAGUAAGCCGACACGGAACGGAUA